rnacentral:rRNA from 1 species
CACGUAGGGCGCAAGCGUUGUCCGGAAUUAUUGGGCGUAAAGAGCUCGUAGGCGGUGUGUCGCGUCGGCCGUGAAAACCUGCAGCUUAACUGUGGGCUUGCGGUCGAUACGGGCAUCACUGGAGUUCGGCAGGGGAGACUGGAAUUCCUGGUGUAGCGGUGAAAUGCGUAGAUAUCUGGAGGAAUACCGGUGGCGAAGGCGGCAUCCUGGACCGAGAUUGACGCUGAUGAGCGAAAGCUAGGGGAGCAAACGGG